UACGUAGGGUGCGAGCGUUGUCCGGAUUUAUUGGGCGUAAAGAGCGUGUAGGCGGCCAGGUAGGUGGGUUGUGAAAACUGGAGGCUCAACCUUCAGAGGUCGACCCAAACCCCCUGGCUAGAGUCCGGAAGAGGAGAGUGGAAUUCCUGGUGUAGCGGUGAAAUGCGCAGAUAUCAGGAAGAACACCCGUGGCGAAGGCGGCUCUCUGGGACGGUACUGACGCUGAGACGCGAAAGCGUGGGGAGCGAACAGG
rnacentral:rRNA from 1 species